rnacentral:rRNA from 1 species
UACGUAGGGUGCAAGCGUUGUCCGGAUUUAUUGGGCGUAAAGAGCGUGUAGGCGGCCAAGUAAGUCUGCUGUGAAAACUCGAGGCUUAACCUCGAGCUGUCGGCGGAACCUAUUUGGCUAGAGUCCGGAAGAGGAGAAUGGAAUUCCCGGUGUAGCGGUGAAAUGCGCAGAUAUCGGGAAGAACACCCGUGGCGAAGGCGGUUCUCUGGGACGGUACUGACGCUGAGACGCGAAAGCGUGGGGAGCGAACAGG